UGCUGUUAAUUUCUAAAGAGUCUCGGUGCCGUGCGGCAACGACUUCUCUAUAGCGUCCUGCGAUUUUCAUCACUAGGGAAUAGCCCUGGCGCCGGACUGCCUGAGGAAGAUGAAGGUAUAGGGUGCACGAGAAGAGGAAGGUUCUCGGAGCUGCUAGAUGUAUACUGUAGGGGAAGAGAGACUCGGGUCGAUACCUGUUGAUACUUCGUUCAAAUAAAAGUCAACUUGUACGAGUUUCACGGCAGCGGCUGUAGUUUGCGGAGACGAGAAGGUGGUCAGAGAACCGGUAUGGAGUACACGGCAAGUUCGAGCGACUUUUGCGGAUACCUUUCGCAGGAACGUCUGUUCCUUUUGCCAUUUUAUUAUUUUAACGCUCCUGAUACCAACACAUCCGCUUUUCUUCGCCUCGACGCGAAAUCGAGUUUCGUCCCUCUAAUGGAAAUCUAUAAUAUGUUACGAUUGAAAAUCUAUUGGAACGAGAUUCGUAUAUAAUCUAUCAUGUUUUUCUUCUUUUAAAUAUACGUAAAUUCUUAUUUUCGAAUAAAUAAAAUCAAUAUUUUCUCGGCGUAUGUUCCGAGGAAUUGUGAGACAAUGUGAUUUCAGCACGUUCACAGGUGCAAAUUUAGUUUUGAAAAUGCUGUAAGAUAGACUAUGUACUUAUAUACACGGCAUCCAUUAUGAUUGCUAUUGCGUCUCUUGCGAUCAUUGAUCUAUCGUGUUAAUCAGGUAUUUAGUAAUUGAAGAAGUAAUUGUUAUAUCACAAUGCCAAAUUGCCUUUAGGGGUUAACAUGGUGAUUGAAAGCUACACAAUACGUUUAGAAUGCACUAGUGAUUGUAGUGAUUGUACGUGCCUGUGAAGCAAUGUCAAUAGUUUAAAGGAUAGUUUAAAGUGAAACAGAUGUCGAUCACUUGUUAAAGCAAUCAUUGUCGCAUAUCAUCUCUAUCUCGGGAAAGGCCUGCAGCAAUAAUAAAAGAUACUUGUUGGUUAUUGAGCGUCACUUAGUGAUGCAUAAUAAAGUUGCUAAAUCCGUUCGUAAUAAAUGCGAGAAUUAUCCUGGACAGGAGA